UGUGUGUAGAUUGAUGAGGGGGGAAAAACAAUUGAAUCCAUUUUAGAUUAAGGCUGUAACGUAUCAACAUUUGGAAAAAGUCAAGAGGUCUGAAUACUUUCCGAAUGCACUAUAAAUUAACACAUCCCAAAAAUAAAGUACAAUAGAUGAGAGCCUAAAGGUAAUGCUACCUUUGCAGACUGUGAUAGACGCACAUCUGAAGUCAAAAUGGUCUAAUGAGUUAUGUGUACUACAUGUUGGAAGGCAGUUCCUCUGUGAUACUCAGUUGGACUAACAAACAUAGCCUCCCUUCACCUCCAGAGAAACCUCAAGUAGAGUCUAUACAGUAAGGCAGUCUGGGAUUGAAUGCUUAUUUUUCAUCAUCUCACAGAAUAGAGCACGGAACCAGGCCAUGAAAGGGAUAACGAGAAUCAUGUUACACUUGUCAGUCAUUCAAAAUGGUCUACAUUUGGGAGAAUCUCUGGGUGUAUCACUGAAGAGCUUAUCAUUGAAAGUGAGGGAGGAUGCCAUUCUGGACUGCCUUCUGUCCACUAACUGUAGGUUGGCCACUGUAAGCUGGUUCAGGCAGAGUACAGGAGAGAGGAUUGAGAUAGUACUGAGCUACCCCCUGACCAACACCUCCCAUCUGCUCUACGGUCAAGGCUUCCAUCCCAACAUGUUCACUGUCCAGACCAACGAUAGCAGCCCAUUUCACUAGCAGCAGUUAGUGAUCCAUGGAUCUAAAGAGAAUGACAUGGCAGUUUAUUACUGUGGACCUACAGAAGGACUUGAGAGAAACAACAACUGAUUUGUAGAGAUUAAAGUAGAAGUCCAUGUGAGAGGAGAGAGCUGUAUGAUACUAGGAGGACAAGACACCAAUAAGAGACUCACAGCAGGUGUGCUUUUCUCCUCUCCAGAGCACCAACUGAAACAGACAGAAUGAACAGAGCACGAGGACUGUGUUUCACUUUACUACUACUGGGGUGUGUACAUGGGAGCAAGUCUCCUCAAAGAGAAGUGGUAUUCAGUAGAGGGAUCCAACUCUUUGUUGAAGGUUUGAACCCUUCUAAUCCCUCUGUAGUAAUCCUCUCCUCAUUUGGGCACAACCCUGGUGCCUCACCUACACUGGUGUGUAUACUCAGUGGUUUAAAAACACACCAUUUGUUGGACAUCAUUUGGUGGAUCAACGACACAGUAGUAACCCCUGAGAACAAUGCCAUUUGGAGUUCCAGGGGAAGUGAUGGCACGUACACAACUACCGGACUGUGGACUAUGUCUGGAAAGGACUGGAAUCCCUAUAGCAACUAUGAGUGUGGAACCAGACAUGAAGGAAAGCAUUAUAGAAAUGGUACACAGCCCUCGCUUUGCAUGGAUUUUACUUGAUUACAAAUAUUUGUUAACCUAUCAAAAAUUAUCCUUAGCGUUUCAUGUACAAUCUUUACUAUUAUUAAAGUAUUCAUGAUGUUUCUUGAGUAUUUUAUUGAAAGAGCAGGUAGCCUAGUGGUUAGAGCUUUGGAAUAGUAACUGAAAGGUUGCAAGUUCAAAUCCCUGAGCUUACAAGGUACAAAUCUGUUGUUCUGCCCCUUA